GAGAUGGAAAAUAGUGGAAGAAACUCUUCCACUGUUGAUAUAUGAUUGACUUGCAAGGGGUCCAAGAGUCAAGACAAUGAAGAAGACGUACAGUACUAAGUUUUAUUAGUAAUUUUGUUGGCAUGUGACACUUGAAAGUUGAAAGCGGUCUCAUGGAAGAAGGUCAAGAAAACUCACUAUUUUUGUUUGUUAUUGUUUACAUUUGAAUUGAAC
rnacentral:misc_RNA from 1 species